rnacentral:rRNA from 1 species
GACGAACGCUGGCGGCGUGCUUAACACAUGCAAGUCGAACGGAAAGGCCCUGCUCUUGUGGGGUGCUCGAGUGGCGAACGGGUGAGUAACACGUGAGUAACCUGCACCUGACUUUGGGAUAACUCCAGGAAACUGGGGCUCAUACCGGAUAGGAGCUCCUGCUGCAUGGUGGGGGAUGGAAAGUUUCGGCGGUUGGGGCUAGACUCGCUGCUUAUCAGCUUGUUGGUGGAGUAGUGGCUUACCAAGGCUUUGACGGGUAGCCGGCCUGAGAGGGUGACCGGCGACAUUGGGACUGCGAGACGGACCAGUCUCCUACGGGCGGCAGCAGUCGAGAGUAUUGCGCAAUGGGCGGAAGCCUGAUGCAGCAGCGCCGCGUGCGGGAUGACGGCCUUCGGGUUGUGAACCGCUUUCGCCUGUGACGAAGCGUGAGUGACGGUAAUGGGUAAGGAAGCCCCGGCUAACUACGUG